GACGAACGCUGGCGGCGUGCUUAACACAUGCAAGUCGAACGAAGUGGCGAACGGGUGAGUAAUACGUGGGUAACCUGCCCUCCUUUUUUGGAUAAGCCUUGGAAACGGGGUCUAAUACCGAAUAAAGGGGGAUGGGCUCGCGGCCUCUCAGCUUGUUGGGGGGGUGAUGGCCUACCAAGGCGGUGACGGGUAGCCGGCCUGAGAGGGGGUCCGGCCACAUGGGGACUGGGAGACGCCUCAGACUCCUGCGGCAGGCCGAAGUGGGGGAUAUUGCCGAAUGGGCGACAGGCUGCUGCAGCGACGUCGCGUGGGGGAGGAAGUCUUUCGGGUUGUAACCCUCUUUCGAGCUCGAAGGGGUACGUGGCGAAGAAGCGCCGGCUAACUACGUGCUAGCAGCCGCGGUAAUAC
rnacentral:rRNA from 1 species